GACGAACGCUGGCGGCGUGCCUAAUACAUGCCAGUAGAACGCUGAAGGAAGGAGCUUGCUCUUUCUGGAUGAGUUGCGAACGGGUGAGUAACGCGUAGGUAACCUGCCUGGUAGCGGGGGAUAACUAUUGGAAACGAUAGCUAAUACCGCAUAAAAUUGAUUAUUGCAUGAUAGUCAAUUAAAAGGUGCAACUGCACCACUACCAGAUGGACCUGCGUUGUAUUAGCUAGUUGGUGGGGUAACGGCUCACCAAGGCGACGAUACAUAGCCGACCUGAGAGGGUGAGCGGCCACACUGGGACUGAGACACGGCCCAGACUCCUACGGGAGGCAGCAGUAGGGAAUCGUCGGCAAUGGACGGAAGUCUGACCGAGCAACGCCGCGUGAGUGAAGAAGGGUGUCGGAUCGUAAAGCUCUGUUGUAAGAGAAGAACGAGUGUGAGAGUGGAAUGUUCACACUGUGACGGUAUCUGACCAGAAAGGGACGGCUAACUACGUG
rnacentral:rRNA from 1 species